rnacentral:rRNA from 1 species
GAGUUUGAUCCUGGCUCAGGAUGAACGCUGGCGGCGCGCUUAACACAUGCAAGUCGAACGGGGAUUACACGGAGAUGCGAUUUCGGUCAAAUCAAGUGCAAUCUUAGUGGCGGACGGGUGAGUAACGCGUGGGUAACCUGCCUUGCACUGGGGGAUAACACUUAGAAAUAGGUGCUAAUACCGCAUAAGCGCACGGUCCUGCAUGGGACAGUGUGAAAAACUCCGGUGGUGCAAGAUGGACCCGCGUCUGAUUAGCUGGUUGGCGGGGUAAAGGCCCACCAAGGCGACGAUCAGUAGCCGGCCUGAGAGGGUGGACGGCCACAUUGGGACUGAGACACGGCCCAAACUCCUACGGGAGGCAGCAGUGGGGGAUAUUGGACAAUGGGGGGAACCCUGAUCCAGCGACGCCGCGUGAGUGAAGAAGUAUUUCGGUGUGUAAAGCUCUGUCAGCAGGGAAGAAAGCAAUGACGGUACCUGACCAAGAAGCCCCGGCUAACUACGUGCCAGCAGCCGCGGUAAUACGUAGGGGGCAAGCGUUAUCCGGAAUUACUGGGUGUAAAGGGAGCGUAGACGGCUGUGCAAGUCUGGAGUGAAAGGCGGGGGCCCAACCCCCGGACUGCUCUGGAAACUGUAUGGCUGGAGUGCAGGAGAGGUAAGCG